rnacentral:rRNA from 1 species
GGCCUGGCCGGGCGGUCUGCCUCACGGUACGUACUGUCUGGCCGGGUCUUACCUCUUGGUGAGCCCGUAUGCCCUUCACUGGGUGUGCGGGGGAACCAGGACUUUUACCUUGAGAAAAUUAGAGUGUUCAAAGCAGGCAUUUCGCUUGAAUACAUUAGCAUGGAAUAAUGGAAUAGGACU